rnacentral:misc_RNA from 1 species
CGCACAUUCGCCCCUUGGUAUUCCGAAGGGCAUGCCUGUUCGAGCGUCAUUUCAACCCUCAAGCCUAGCUUGGUAUUGGACGCGGUCCCAGGACCCGUCCGCAACCCGUUGGCGGUACCGUCUAGCCUCAAGCGUAGCAAAAAUUUCGCUUCAGGAGUCCGCGGCGGUACUCGCUAGGUAACUAGUACCUAAAGUUUGACCUCGGAUCAGGUGAGGAUACCCGCUGAACUUAA